rnacentral:rRNA from 1 species
CGAGUUAUCUGAACCUUCGGGGAACGAUAACGGCGUCGAGCGGCGGACGGGUGAGUAAUGCCUAGGAAAUUGCCCUGAUGUGGGGGAUAACCAUUGGAAACGAUGGCUAAUACCGCAUGAUGCCUACGGGCCAAAGAGGGGGACCUUCGGGCCUCUCGCGUCAGGAUAUGCCUAGGUGGGAUUAGCUAGUUGGUGAGGUAAGGGCUCACCAAGGCGACGAUCCCUAGCUGGUCUGAGAGGAUGAUCAGCCACACUGGAACUGAGACACGGUCCAGACUCCUACGGGAGGCAGCAGUGGGGAAUAUUGCACAAUGGGCGCAAGCCUGAUGCAGCCAUGCCGCGUGUAUGAAGAAGGCCUUCGGGUUGUAAAGUACUUUCAGUCGUGAGGAAGGCGKUGUCGUUAAUAGCGGCAUCGUUUGACGUUAGCGACAGAAGAAGCACCGGCUAACUCCGUGCCAGCAGCCGCGGUAAUACGGAGGGUGCGAGCGUUAAUCGGAAUUACUGGGCGUAAAGCGCAUGCAGGUGGUUUGUUAAGUCAGAUGUGAAAGCCCGGGGCUCAACCUCGGAAUAGCAUUUGAAACUGGCAGACUAGAGUACUGUAGAGGGGGGUAGAAUUUCAGGUGUAGCGGUGAAAUGCGUAGAGAUCUGAAGGAAUACCGGUGGCGAAGGCGGCCCCCUGGACAGAUACUGACACUCAGAUGCGAAAGCGUGGGGAGCAAACAGGAUUAGAUACCCUGGUAGUCCACGCCGUAAACGAUGUCUACUUGGAGGUUGUGGCCUUGAGCCGUGGCUUUCGGAGCUAACGCGUUAAGUAGACCGCCUGGGGAGUACGGUCGCAAGAUUAAAACUCAAAUGAAUUGACGGGGGCCCGCACAAGCGGUGGAGCAUGUGGUUUAAUUCGAUGCAACGCGAAGAACCUUACCUACUCUUGACAUCCAGAGAACUUUCCAGAGAUGGAUUGGUGCCUUCGGGAACUCUGAGACAGGUGCUGCAUGGCUGUCGUCAGCUCGUGUUGUGAAAUGUUGGGUUAAGUCCC